CUCGCUAACGGUGCCGUUUGUGCGCGGUGGGAGAAACCUAAAUUCUUUUUCUCUUCCUUGCGCACCCCUUCUGCGCCGCACAGCCCCCUCCCCCUCAUCUCUCUAUCUUUCAGCCAUCUUCCCUCUCCGCCGUAGCCGUGCCCCACACCACUGUCAUCGGCGAUGUCUCAGGCAGCUACCCGUAAGGCUUCGUCCCUCUCUCUCUGACACCUUCUAACUCUUGCGAGGUUCCCUGUAGAAGUGUUGUUCCAGCAACCGCUCCGCUGCCACCUUCGUCGCUGUGAUGCGCCGCCUCUGCUCAUCACCGAACAACCUCAAGCCCCAGCAGAUGCCGCUCUCUCUGUCAUGCCCUUCUUACCGUAGGUCUGUCUCUCUCACUCUCCCUCUGUCUCGCAUCCUCUCUUCCCUCAGUCUAGACGUCGCCGCCAUCAACCACCGCAUCGUGACCAACAACCACCGCAAGUCGCACCCCAACUCCCUUUCUAUCUCACGGUACCCCACUUCCCUCCCCCGUUUCGCACAGUAACCACGUGGAGCCCUAAACGACGCCUCCUCUUCUCCUUGCCCGUUUCUCUCUCUUCUUUGUGUUUUGCCUCUAGCCGCGGUGCCUGGAUACACGUCAUUCUUCAUGGUUCUUAAUGCGCCGUUCUCCACAAUUCUGACUGUAGUUGCCAUGUGGUCAUCCAACCUCCCCCUCACAUUCUCCUCUUUGUUCGGCCCCUUAUCCUCCCAGAUUCACCCAACCCGAGUGUAGAUCCCCUUUUUGGGGUUCCGCUCCGCCACCCUCCGCCGCGAAACCUCCCACCUCCAUCCUUUAUCGCGACUGAUCUGCCACCCAUUAGAAUUUUCCCAGUCGUAGGCCCUUUAUUUCACCCAGAUCCGUCCUUGCCACUGUGCUCCGCCCCUACAGCCGCCACAACACGACAGACGCACUCACUCACUCGCGGGAUGCUUUCGUGAGCGCUCUCGAUCCUCCAGAAUUUUGGCCUUUCGCGUUUGGAUCCAGGAAACCAUGGCAAAAAAUGGAUUUGGGAAGGCCAUCUCUUCGAUGGUCAUUUACUUGAUGGAGCUUGAGAAGAUAUUUAGAGGUGACAUUCCAAU